rnacentral:rRNA from 1 species
UACGUAGGCAGCAAGCGUUGUUCGGAAUUACUGGGCGUAAAGAGUGUGUAGGCGGUGCUCUAAGUUCGGUGUGAAAUCUCCUGGCUUAACUGGGAGGGUGCGCCGGAAACUGGAAUGCUCGAGCGUGGGAGAGGAAAGCGGAAUUCCUGGUGUAGCGGUGAAAUGCGUAGAUAUCAGGAGGAACACCUGCGGUGUAGACAGCUUUCUGGACCAUUGCUGACGCUGAGACACGAAAGCGUGGGUAGCAAACAG